rnacentral:rRNA from 1 species
UACGGAGGGUGCAAGCGUUAUCCGGAUUCUCUGGGUGUAAAGGGUGCGUAGGUGGGCAGUUAAGUCAGUGGUGAAAUCUCCGGGCUCAACCCGGAAACUGCCAUUGAUACUAUCUGUCUUGAAUAUCGUGGAGGUAAGCGGAAUAUGUCAUGUAGCGGUGAAAUGCUUAGAUAUGACAUAGAACACCAAUUGCGAAGGCAGCUUACUACCCGAAUAUUGACACUGAGGCACGAAAGCGUGGGGAUCAAACAGG